rnacentral:rRNA from 2 species
AAUCCAUAGGUUAAUGAGGCGAACCGGGGGAACUGAAACAUCUAAGUACCCCGAGGAAAAGAAAUCAACCGAGAUUCCCCCAGUAGCGGCGAGCGAACGGGGAGGAGCCCAGAGCCUGAAUCAGCAUGUGUGUUAGUGGAAGCGUCUGGAAAGGCGCGCGAUACAGGGUGACAGCCCCGUACACAAAAGCGCAUGUGCUGUGAGCUCGAUGAGUAGGGCGGGACACGUGGUAUCCUGUCUGAAUAUGGGGGGACCAUCCUCCAAGGCUAAAUACUCCUGACUGACCGAUAGUGAACCAGUACCGUGAGGGAAAGGCGAAAAGAACCCCGGCGAGGGGAGUGAAAAAGAACCUGAAACCGUGUACGUACAAGCAGUGGGAGCCCCACCACCAAAGCAUUUGCUGUACCGCGUUGACGGAGCGAAGCGACGUCAAACCGAUAAAACAGCAGUGUAAAGUGAGCCGCAGGGCGCUUUGCGCGACAGCGCAAAGGCAGGCGGUUUCGCGUAGCGAAAGCGAAUGCUUUGGGGUGGGGUGACUGCGUACCUUUUGUAUAAUGGGUCAGCGACUUAUAUUCUGUAGCAAGGUUAACCGAAUAGGGGAGCCGGAGGGAAACCGAGUCUUAAUUGGGCGUUAAGUUGCAGGGUAUAGACCCGAAACCCGGUGAUCUAGCCAUGGGCAGGUUGAAGGUUGGGUAACACUAACUGGAGGACCGAACCGACUAAUGUUGAAAAAUUAGCGGAUGACCUGUGGCUGGGGGUGAAAGGCCAAUCAAACCGGGAGAUAGCUGGUUCUCCCCGAAAGCUAUUUAGGUAGCGCCUCGUGAAUUCAUCUCCGGGGGUAGAGCACUGUUUCGGCUAGGGGGCCAUCCCGGCUUACCAACCCGAUGCAAACUGCGAAUACCGGAGAAUGUUAUCACGGGAGACACACGGCGGGUGCUAACGUCCGUCGUGAAGAGGGAAACAACCCAGACCGCCAGCUAAGGUCCCAAAGUCAUGGUUAAGUGGGAAACGAUGUGGGAAGGCCCAGACAGCCAGGAUGUUGGCUUAGAAGCAGCCAUCAUUUAAAGAAAGCGUAAUAGCUCACUGGUCGAGUCGGCCUGCGCGGAAGAUGUAACGGGGCUAAACCAUGCACCGAAGCUGCGGCAGCGACGCUUAUGCGUUGUUGGGUAGGGGAGCGUUCUGUAAGCCUGCGAAGGUGGCCUGUGAGGG